rnacentral:tRNA from 1 species
GGCGGCAUUUUGCCUUCUACAAGAAUGUAAUUUAAGAAAAAUAUUAGGCUUCAAACUUAAAAAU